AGCUUGCUUCUCUGAUGUUAGCGGCGGACGGGUGAGUAACACGUGGAUAACCUACCUAUAAGACUGGGAUAACUUCGGGAAACCGGAGCUAAUACCGGAUAAUAUUUUGAACCGCAUGGUUCAAAAGUGAAAGACGGUCUUGCUGUCACUUAUAGAUGGAUCCGCGCUGCAUUAGCUAGUUGGUAAGGUAACGGCUUACCAAGGCAACGAUGCAUAGCCGACCUGAGAGGGUGAUCGGCCACACUGGAACUGAGACACGGUCCAGACUCCUACGGGAGGCAGCAGUAGGGAAUCUUCCGCAAUGGGCGAAAGCCUGACGGAGCAACGCCGCGUGAGUGAUGAAGGUCUUCGGAUCGUAAGACUCUGUUAUUAGGGAAGAACAUAUGUGUAAGUAACUGUGCACAUCUUGACGGUACCUAAUCAGAAAGCCACGGCUAACUACGUGCCAGCAGCCGCGGUAAUACGUAGGUGGCAAGCGUUAUCCGGAAUUAUUGGGCGUAAAGCGCGCGUAGGCGGUUUUUUAAGUCUGAUGUGAAAGCCCACGGCUCAACCGUGGAGGGUCAUUGGAAACUGGAAAACUUGAGUGCAGAAGAGGAAAGUGGAAUUCCAUGUGUAGCGGUGAAAUGCGCAGAGAUAUGGAGGAACACCAGUGGCGAA
rnacentral:rRNA from 1 species